rnacentral:rRNA from 1 species
AGAUUGAACGCUGGCGGCAUGCUUUACACAUGCAAGUCGAACGGCAGCACGAGGGCAACCCUGGUGGCGAGUGGCGAACGAGUGAGUAAUGCAUCGGAACGUAUCUUUAAGUGAGGGAUAACGCAUCGAAAGAUGCGCUAAUACCGCAUAAUCUCUGAGGAGAAAAGCAGAAGAUCGCAAGACCUUGCGCUUUUGGAGCGGCCGAUGUCUGAUUAGCUAGUUGGUGGGGUAAAGGCUUACCAAGGCUUCGAUCAGUAGCUGGUCUGAGAGGACGACCAGCCACACUGGGGCUGAGACACGGCCCAGACUCCUACGGGAGGCAGCAGUGGGGAAUUUUGGACAAGUGGGGGAAACCCUGAUCCAGCCAUGCCGCGUGAGUAGAAGAAGGCCUUCGGUUGUAAGCUCUUUCAGACCGAACGAAACGGUACGUUAACGUAACGUGACGUACUGACGGUACCGAAGAAGAAGACACC